UGCGCGAAGGGAAUCUGACAAAUAAAGUGCUGAUCUGGAACAAAAAGAAGCUCGGAAUCUGUCGGCGACGGAUCUUCUACGGUGGCAGUGGAGGCUGUGUCUGUGUAGGGGCUGUGGUGGCUGCGCCGCUGAGGGGCUGCGAGGCUGUGGGGGCUGCGGGGAGCUGUGAGGGCUGAUGCGGGGGCUGCGUGGCUGCAGUGGCGGCAAAGACUGCGGUGGCUGUGGGCGGCGGGGUGCAGGGCGAAGAGUUAGAGGAUGAGAG